rnacentral:rRNA from 1 species
AUUGCUGUGGUAUUUUGACUAUACAAAGGUAUUGUAAUAAGAUUUUAAUUGAAUGCUAAAAGAAUGGAUUAACAGAUAAAUACUUUCUUUAAUUUAAAAAUUAAAUUUAUUAUUUUUUGUGCAGAAACAAAAAUAAAAAUUAAGGACAAGAAGACCCUAAGAAUUUUAAUUUGAUUUAAAUAAUUUAUAUUUCUUAAUCAAAUUUAAUUGGGGCGAUUGAAAAAUAUUUUUAACUUUUUUUUAAAAAAAAUAUGAACCAUUAAUAAUGGUAAUAUGAAAAAAUACUCUAGGGAUAACAGCGUAAUAAUUUUUGAUAGUUCAUAUAGACAAAAUAGUUUGCGACCUCGAUGUUGGAUUAGGAUUCUAAUUUAAUGAAGAAGUUAAAUUAAGAAGUUUGUUCAACUUUUAAAUUCCUACU